UCUACGAUUCUGUGAUUCUAUGAUUCUAUGAAAUAAGCUUUUGCAGAGAUUCAUUUACAAAUAUGGCUUUUUGUACUCCCACUACUUUGAUUUGUCUUUAGUUGAAGGAAAGGUUUCAAAAAAACUUAAAAACAAAAAUUAGAAGUAAUGCACAUUUUCACUACUGAGCUAACAUAUUUCUAGUUCUGGAAUUCUGUAUUUGAUCAGAUUCUAUACUCCAGAUAUUCCACAUAUGGCAGUUAGUUUUGUUAAAAUAAUUGUCUUUUUUUUUCCUUUAAUUUUCUUUUUCCAAUUAGUUUCAAGCCUAAGAAAACAUUAAAAUCAUCUGUGUGGCAUCCUUCUGCCUUCUUUGCUCAGUUAUGUCAUUAUUACAUUUUAGCACAUGCUGAAGAGGAUUGGCACCUGUUACGUAAUACCUGCUCUUUUAUUCUGCCAAGUGCCAUAAAAAUCAAAUUUCACUUAAUGUAUCUGAUGAGAGGUAUGUUCUCUAAGUGGACCAUACGCAUUGGCAUACACAGCAAAAGUCGAGAUUCUUCACCUUUUCCAACAGGAAAAUUUUCCUACGUAAUUUUUUUUCCACUGUCAUGGUAAUACUUCUUUCUCAUCGAGAGUUUUGUGGGAAGUUAGUUUUAUCUGUUAUGUCAGGUAUUACAUCAGUCAGUUAUAAAAAUUAUAAUGAUUUUAUACAUGUGGAAGGACAUCAACAUGUCUUCUUCCUGACAAAUCUUCUGCAGGGCAGGAGGGCAUAUAUGAAAUCUUAUUGUGCUGUGCUUUUGCUGGCAUGAUUUACAGAUAAGUGUGAAUGCAGUGUUUCUUUUCGACAGCAAAAACGUAGCUUUUCAAUUCCUUUUACAGACAAACACAGAUACAUAUAUAUGUAAAGAUUUUAUAGCCUUGUACUACAAACCAAUUAUGUUGCAUAUCAAAUAAAUACGGAGGUUUUUUUUUUUUCUGUCGAGAAAAAAAUGGAGAGAGUAAUCAUGAAUGAAAGGAGCCUUUAGCAAAGAUAUACAUUACUUGUUUAUCUUCACUGUUACCACUUUCAUCAACGGUUUCUAAAAAUUACACCCUUGUUUAGUUAACACAGAUCCUUAUCUUGAGUUUAUCACAUCGCCAGUGGCUGACAUUUUACAAAGGCAUUCCCUGUAGCUAAACACAUCCCUGAAACAUCAAGAAGCCCUUGCCAGAUUUUUUUUCAGCCAAUCCUGAAGACCAAAUUUCAAUAUGAAAGCUUUCCGCAUAUUUUAGCUAAUUUUAAAUUAGGAAUGUGAAUCUUUUCCUAAGCUCAUAUGAACUUAAAUGGCCAUGUGCAAUUAUGGAUGCUGACUGCUAAAUGGAAACACAUGUUUCAAUGUAAAAAUCCUUCUUAUCACAUUCAGGCUUCCUGAAACUCAAUUACGUUUUAAUUUGAGUUUCAUUAUAAAGCAUUUUUACUAUCUGUCUCUUUACAUAUACAGUUUUUAUUUUUGUUAUUAUUUUAAUCUGUUAAGCUACUUUUCAUUAUGCUAAUUCACAUUCUCAUUGCUGUGCUUAUGAAAUAAUUGUAAUUUUAAUGAAAUAAUUGUAGUCCUAAUAUUAACUAAAAUAUCAUGAAUUUAUUUCCCUGUUUUUACAGGAGAGGCAGCGAAAUGGACAACAUAGCUUGAAUCAGUUACAGCACUGACUUGAAAUUAUUUAGAACACCAGCCCCAUCCCACUCAAUCCCCAUCCUGUUUUUGUCUUAUAUGUCUGUGAUGUUCCAUGAGAAAGACAGAGAGCCUACCAGUGCUGCUGAACCCAGACUCUCUUGCAUCCCAUGUCACUUACACCAGAGGAACUCCGAGAACAGGCUGAAACCAUGCAGUGGCUGUUUGCACAGAAUUUACCACUGCAAACUUUUCUGACUCUGGACAACUGCACCGCCACGGUUGUGCCAGAGCAGGCCAAAGAACAAGAGGUUAUGGACGUGAGGAUACUUUCAUAUAUCUAGAACAGAUACUGCCGUUUGAUCCUCAACAUUAACAAAAUUAUGUUUGACUAGAAGAUUAUAAAAUGGAAAGCUAAUAUUAUUUCCAGUUAAACAAAAGCACUGCAACCUCAGCAAAAUCAUGCUGUUGUCUAUGCGGUUUCGGUUACAAGAUACGUUUUCUACAUCAGAAAGCGGGUGCUUCAUUAACAUUCAUAAUGCCAAAUUUUUAAAGACAGCCAACUGAGUGUCAAAGAAAACUUUGACACACGUUUUUGCAGCUGUGUUCUGUCUCAGUAUUUGUGUCACACUUUGAUGGUGCCUUCUGCCAGAUAGGGCUAGAAGUGGCACACUGGCAUGGUCUCUUUUAUUCACUGCAGCUGAAGAACAGAAUAGUGAGACCUUCUGCACUUCCUCAAAUCAGCAAAAAAGCCCUUGAAAUCUUGCUGAGCAAGCAGUCUCUUAUUGCUGAGCUUGUUUAAAUUAGCCAGCUGAGAAUCCAAGCUCUGAUCCCAUUAUAACUUGAAACAUAUAGUUUCUGUGACUUUAUUUUAUUUCUAUUAUUUUUAAACAGAUACAAAUGAAUUGCAGUCACAGAGUAUGCACAGGAGAACUACAGCAUGCACUCACGGGCAUUCAAAUUAUAACCAUGAAAAAAGAAUGAUCAACCACACAUCCAGCUCAACAGUAUAUACAUAGAGCUGCCAACAGUGAAGUAUAUUCAUUAAAGCUGGUUGGGAAUAUACAUAAUACAGAAAUCAUAUCACUAUCAAAAGAGGAAUUUCUGUUUAUUUAUUUAUUAACUUACAGAAAUAACCACUGUAAUAGAGAAGGAAUACUAAUAAAGUUCCAGAAUCCUGAUGUGUCUAAGAAGGUGCCAAAACCAUCCAGCUGUCCCAGUCUUCUGAAAUAACUCCACUAAAUAAAUUCAGACCUUUUCCCAUAUAGAAAAAUAAGGAUUUUCUUUUUGAUUGCAAAUUUCUUUGAGGCAUCUCUUCAGAGUCAGUUUUGUCUGAAAUUCUGCAAGUACACAAUAUCAAGACCCUCUUUUGGCUGGUAAAUAUAUCACACUUGGAUUCCUUUUCACAUGAACCUUGCUGACAUUUUCUCCCUUUUGUAUCUUAUACAUCUGACCAGAAAAUAAUAAAUUAUUUGUAAUUUAUAACUUCAUUUAACAGUAGUUCAUAGUUUAAUGUGCUGGAAUGUAACACGUGAUGAUUGGGCAGAGUCCAGCACAAAAAUAAUUUGGUGGUCUUUUUUCAGAAUUUUUUAAUAGUCCACAAACCCCCAGGGAAGCGGGACAUCUGUUGGAGUACUCUUUCAGUAGACAUCUCAAGUGGCCAGCUAACCUGCUGGGGAAUGGAUCAUCCUGCAGAGGGUGAAUCAUGAGCUCACAGAUGAAAGUCACCCAAGAUGACAUCCCAGAUACUAUUGGCAAACAUCAUACAUGCCGAAAUCAAAGAUGAAGCUGUCAAACAGUAAGAGUGGAUGCUGCAGGGAUAGACAGCAACAUCAUGUUAAAGAAAACGCUCUCAGAAGCCUUCAGGGGAAGUCACUGCACAAAGUGGAAAGUGUGUUUAAAAAAGAGAGAGAAAAAUUAAAGUAUAUAAGCCAACUCAAGGUAUCUUGAGGUACCAGUAGUGUGUUGUAGAACGUUCGACUCCUGGGAUGCAUAUGUGGAAUGGAAGAUUUGGACUUUAUCUGGAUGUUCUACUGGCUAUUCAGAAGAUGGCCCUGAGAGAGGAGUUGACUCUACUUCUCUUCUGAAGUUGGGUUAUUGCAAAAAGUAUCAUUUCAGGCAAGCUCUGUAAGCCCAUGUCUGAGUCACUGAGAUGUGCUUUGCAAUGGAGGAUUAAGGGAGUUUGCACAUGGAAGCAUGACUGUGCUUGCAGUCCCACAGUAGAAAAGGCAACCAGGAGGGGGGAAUAAUCAGUAACAAGGAAAGAACUGCCUGGGAUGUCCGGGCUGGCCACCAGUGGAAAAAAAAGAAAGAAUCAGAUGAGAACUGAGUGAAGUAUA